AAACUUGAGAGUUUGAUCCUGGCUCAGAACGAACGCUGGCGGCAUGCCUAAUACAUGCAAGUCGAACGAACACUUCGGUGUUAGUGGCGCACGGGUGCGUAACGCGUGGGAAUCUACCCUUGGGUUCGGAAUAACAGUUAGAAAUGACUGCUAAUACCGGAUGAUGACGUAAGUCCAAAGAUUUAUCGCCCAAGGAUGAGCCCGCGUAAGAUUAGCUAGUUGGUAGGGUAAAGGCCUACCAAGGCUACGAUCUUUAGCUGGUCUGAGAGGAUGAUCAGCCACACUGGGACUGAGACACGGCCCAGACUCCUACGGGAGGCAGCAGUAGGGAAUAUUGGACAAUGGGGGAAACCCUGAUCCAGCAAUGCCGCGUGAGUGAUGAAGGCCUUAGGGUUGUAAAGCUCUUUUACCCGAGAUGAUAAUGACAGUAUCGGGAGAAUAAGCUCCGGCUAACUCCGUGCCAGCAGCCGCGGUAAUACGGAGGGAGCUAGCGUUGUUCGGAAUUACUGGGCGUAAAGCGCACGUAGGCGGCGAUCUAAGUCAGAGGUGAAAGCCCGGGGCUCAACCCCGGAAUUGCCUUUGAGACUGGAUUGCUAGAAUCCGGGAGAGGUGAGUGGAAUUCCGAGUGUAGAGGUGAAAUUCGUAGAUAUUCGGAAGAACACCAGUGGCGAAGGCGGCUCACUGGACCGGCAUUGACGCUGAGGUGCGAAAGCGUGGGGAGCA
rnacentral:rRNA from 1 species